rnacentral:snRNA from 1 species
GACAGUGAGUGUGAUCUGGCUGCCACUUCUCUCAUUCCACUGACCGCCAGAGUGGAUUCAGCUAUCUGGCUGGCUAGGUGGGUGACCCUUCCCUCCCUCAAUGCUCCAUGUGUGUCCCUCUGACGCUUAGUCAAACAAAGAAGGAGAACAACCUUCUCCAACAGAAGAAGCCUGGUCUUCAGUGAAGGGGGUAAGAGUAGCUGCUCUCCUGCUGGAGCCUUGUAACAAGCUCUCAAAUGUCAAACAGGAAAGAAAGAAAUUUGAUCAGACUUCCUAAGGUCAGCUUACUCAUUUA